rnacentral:rRNA from 1 species
CAGAACGAACGCUGGCGGCAGGCCUAACACAUGCAAGUCGAGCGCACCCCUUCGGGGGCGAGCGGCGGACGGGUUAGUAACGCGUGGGAACAUACCCUUUACUACGGAAUAGCCUCGGGAAACUGAGAGUAAUACCGUAUGUGCCCUUCGGGGGAAAGAUUUAUCGGUAAAGGAUUGGCCCGCGUUAGAUUAGAUAGUUGGUGGGGUAAUGGCCUACCAAGUCUACGAUCUAUAGCUGGUUUUAGAGGAUGAUCAGCAACACUGGGACUGAGACACGGCCCAGACUCCUACGGGAGGCAGCAGUGGGGAAUCUUAGACAAUGGGCGCAAGCCUGAUCUAGCCAUGCCGCGUGUGUGAUGAAGGCCUUAGGGUCGUAAAGCACUUUCGCCAGAGAUGAUAAUGACAGUAUCUGGUAAAGAAACCCCGGCUAACUCCGUGCCAGCAGCCGCGGUAAUACGGAGGGGGUUAGCGUUGUUCGGAAUUACUGGGCGUAAAGCGUACGUAGGCGGAUCAGAAAGUAUGGGGUGAAAUCCCAGGGCUCAACCCUGGAACUGCCUCAUAAACUCCUGGUCUUGAGUUCGAGAGAGGUGAGUGGAAUUCCAAGUGUAGAGGUGAAAUUCGUAGAUAUUUGGAGGAACACCAGUGGCGAAGGCGGCUCACUGGCUCGAUACUGACGCUGAGGUACGAAAGUGUGGGGAGCAAACAGGAUUAGAUACCCUGGUAGUCCACACCGUAAACGAUGAAUGCCAGUCGUCGGGCAGUAUACUGUUCGGUGACACACCUAACGGAUUAAGCAUCCGC